CCGCAUAUCCAAGGCGAGGUGUGAUUCCUCGACCGGCGGUGUUCCAUGAGCGAUAGCUCAUCGGUAAGCCCGCAACUCCCGUCAAAUCUUUUAUCAGGCGGGACUGACACGGUGAGAUCCCGUGGCCGACGGUAAAGUCCGGAUGGAAGGAGUUGUUU
rnacentral:ncRNA from 2 species